GAGGAAGGCGGGGAUGACGUCAAAUCAUCAUGCCCCUUAUGACUUGGGCUACACACGUGCUACAAUGGCGUAAACAAAGGGAAGCAAAGCUGUGAAGCCGAGCAAAUCUCAAAAAUAACGUCUCAGUUCGGACUGUAGUCUGCAACCCGACUACACGAAGCUGGAAUCGCUAGUAAUCGCAGAUCAGAAUGCUGCGGUGAAUACGUUCCCGGGUCUUGUACACACCGCCCGUCACACCAUGGGAGUUGGGAAUGCCCGAAGCCAGUGACCUAACCGAAAGGAAGGAGCUGUCGAAGGCAGGCUCGAUAACUGGGGUGAAGUCGUAACAAGGU
rnacentral:rRNA from 1 species